rnacentral:rRNA from 1 species
AGUAUAAGCAAUCUAUACUGUGAAACUGCGAAUGGCUCAUUAAAUCAGUUAUCGUUUAUUUGAUAGUACCUUACUACUUGGAUAACCGUGGUAAUUCUAGAGCUAAUACAUGCUAAAAACCCCGACUUCGGAAGGGGUGUAUUUAUUAGAUAAAAAACCAAUGCCCUUCGGGGCUCCUUGGUGAAUCAUGAUAACUUAACGAAUCGCAUGGCCUUGCGCCGGCGAUGGUUCAUUCAAAUUUCUGCCCUAUCAACUUUCGAUUGUAGGAUAGUGGCCUACAAUGGUUUCAACGGGUAACGGGGAAUUAGGGUUCUAUUCCGGAGAGGGAGCCUGAGAAACGGCUACCACAUCCAAGGAAGGCAGCAGGCGCGCAAAUUACCCAAUCCCGAUACGGGGAGGUAGUGACAAUAAAUACUGAUACAGGGCUCUUUUGGGUCUUGUAAUUGGAAUGAGUACAAUU